rnacentral:lncRNA from 1 species
CUAAAGAGAGUAUAGGAUACUUCUUUUACCAUCCUACUGAAUAAAAGAUGUUUGUCAAUAAAUAUACCACUUUUAUGGAAAAAGAGUUUAUCCUAGAAAGAGACAGUGGGAAAAAAAUUAAAUUUGAAGAAGUUCAAGACCUACAAAUGUAAGCACAAGAUGAUCCUCAAUAAAAAAUAUCCAUUAAUAAAGUACAACCAUAAAAUACAUCUCCUCUCUG